GGGUAUUCUCUUUGAUGGCUUGUU
rnacentral:siRNA from 1 species